ACGGUUUCUUAGAGUUCUUGAGUUUUCUCUUAGUAUUUGGUGGUUCAGUCGCUGACUUGGGCGUCGGAGCGUGAUCGGCCGCAGCGGCGCCGUUCUGUCUUUUGCAGGUUCUUGAGGUGGAUCGCGGUGAAGGACGGAGGCUAACACGGCGCAGAAGUCGAUCCAGGUUUGACGAGGCAAAGCUCUUGCGUUCUGGUCAGCAGGCAGGAUUAGCAGCAAUUUCUUCCUUUUUUUUUAAAUGUUGAUGGUGUCAUAGUCUUUCCAUAACACCGUACUCUCC
rnacentral:lncRNA from 1 species